AUGAACGCUGGCGGCGUGCCUAAUACAUGCAAGUCGAGCGAACAGACGAGGAGCUUGCUCCUCUGACGUUAGCGGCGGACGGGUGAGUAACACGUGGAUAACCUACCUAUAAGACUGGGAUAACUUCGGGAAACCGGAGCUAAUACCGGAUAAUAUAUUGAACCGCAUGGUUCAAUAGUGAAAGACGGUUUUGCUGUCACUUAUAGAUGGAUCCGCGCCGCAUUAGCUAGUUGGUAAGGUAACGGCUUACCAAGGCGACGAUGCGUGGCCGACCUGAGAGGGUGAUCGGCCACACUGGAACUGAGACACGGUCCAGACUCCUACGGGAGGCAGCAGUAGGGAAUCUUCCGCAAUGGGCGAAAGCCUGACGGAGCAACGCCGCGUGAGUGAUGAAGGUCUUCGGAUCGUAAAACUCUGUUAUUAGGGAAGAACAAAUGUGUAAGUAACUAUGCACGUCUUGACGGUACCUAAUCAGAAAGCCACGGCUAACUACGUG
rnacentral:rRNA from 1 species